UUUUAUACGUGUCUCUAUCACGCGUUUUCAAGAAGCAGUUUGGCGAGCACAAACGUUGUUAUAAAAUGGGGAGAGUAGACAGCGGUAUGCAAGUAUGACCUGAUGUUAAAUGUAUUGUAGCCUUUAUCACAAACGAAGCCAUUCAACAUACUAUGAUGAUACGUCUCAGUCCGAAAUACGUUGAGAAGGUAGUGAAAUCGGAGGCACUCACUUCGCCGUCGACUUGGUUGGAGGGCUAACAUCUAACGAAACAAGAACAAUUAGCGAGACGGAAAGAAGUGCUCCUGAUUUCAUUCCUUUCAGUGAACCCACAUUCUGAAGAGCCCACAUCAUAGUGUACUACUCAUUAUCCAUUGGCAACAUACCAAAUGUUUUUCUCCAUUACCAAAGACUGUGUAUGUUACAAAAGAUAUACAAAUUUGUGAGGAAGUAUAUAAUUUUACAGAACAAUUGUAUAUAAAUAUAGUGGUUCUGAAAUUAAGAUUGAGAAACAAUAUUCUCAAAAAAUUGCAUCUAGAAAUAAAUUAUCAGUUUUGUUGCACUAUGACCUAUUCUUGCUAGGAAUGUAACUGAGGAGGACAAACCAAAACUGGAUGUAAUAAC